GAUGUGGCUUGGAUCCUGUGUUGCUGUGGCUCUUGCAUAGGCCAGCGGCUACAGUUCCCAUUGGACCCCUAACCUGGGAACUUCCAUAUGCUAUGGGUGCAGCCCUAAAAAAAAAAAUGUUACAUUAGAAAAGGCAUUAUCAGAAGACUGAUUGAGGAACAAAAAUCAUAUGAGACAUUCAGAAAACAGGAAAACAGAAGUCUUGUAUAUCAGUAAUUACUUUGAAUAAACUUACAAAUUGAAAGACAGAUGCAGCAUUAUGGAUUUUUAAAAAACUUUAUGCAAUUAUAUGCUGCCCAGAGACUCAUUUUAUACCUACUGUCACAAAUAGGUUCGAAGAUAAGUGGUGGAAAAAGGUAUUCUAAGUGAAUAAAUAGCAACCCAAAGAGAUCUGGAAAGAGCAUCAAGAUGGUGGAGUAGUAGAACGUGGAGCUCACCUUCUUCUACAAACACAUCAAAAAUACUUCUCUGUGUGGAAUAAUUCUCACAGAAAACUAACCUGAAAUUGGCAGAUCUCCUGUACAACCAAAGCAGUGAGAAAGAUCAACAUAUAACCAGAUUGCAAAACCCGACCCUCAAAUUCAUAUGAAAUUUCAAGGGGCCCAAAUAAUCAAAACAACAUUGAAAAAGGAAAACAAAGUUUGAAGACUCAAACACCCCAAUUUGAUCCAUGAGGACACAGGUUUGAUCCCUGGCCUUGCUCAGUGGGUUAGGGAUCUGGCGUUGCCAUGAGCUGUGUUGUAGGUCACAGACAUGGCUCAGAUCUGGCCUUGCUGUGGUGUAGGCCACUGGCUACAGCUGAUUCAACCCAUAGCCAGGGGACUUCCAUAUGCCACGGGUGUGGCAUGGGUUUGAUCCCUAGCUCUGGUAUCAAAAUGCUGCAGGUAUGGCAAAAAACCCCCAAACAGCUAAGUAAGUGAAGAGACAUAUUGUGCUUAUGGAUUGGUAAAAAUUUCAAUUUUUUCCCAAAUGAUAUAAAAGUAUGUAAUGCAAUUCUAUCAAAAUCUAAGCAGGACUUUUGAAAAAACAGGCUGACUCAAAGUUAUAUGUAAACAAAGGAAUUAGGAUAAAGCAAUUUUGAGAAAGAAGGAUAAAGGGAGAAGUCACCAUGUAGCUACCGUAAUGAAGACAGUGAGGUGUUAGUAGAGGGAGAGAUACAUGAGUCAGUGGAACAGAACAGAGUUCAGAAACAGACUCACAUGAGUAGGCCACUUGAUCUUUUACAAAAGUACAAAACAACUAAAUAGAGAAAUGAUAAAUUUAACAAAUAGUGUUGAAAAAAUUAGACAUCAUAGGUUUAAAAAAAAAGAAAAAUGAACCUUGACUUAAAUCUUAGACUAGGUAAUAGCCAUAUUAAACUUUAAAAUGUGCAUCCAGGAGUUCCCGUCGUGGCUCAAUGGUUAACGAAUCUGACUAGGAACCCUGAGUUUGUGCGUUCGAUCCCUGGCCUUGCUCAGUGGGUUAAGGAUCUGGCAUUGCCGUGAGCUGUGGUGUAGGUUGCAGACGCGGCUCGGAUCCCACGUUGCUGUAGCUCUGGUGUAGGCCAGCGGCUUCAGGUCCGAUUCGACCCCUAGCCUGGGAACAUCCAUAUACCAUGGGAGCGGCCCAAGAAAUGGCAAAAAGACAAAAAACAAAACAAAACAAAACAAACAACAACAAAAAAACCCACUUAAAAUGUGCAUCCAGAAACUUACUUUUUUUUCUUUUUUGGCUGCCCUGCAGCAUAUGGAGUUCCUGGGCCAAGGAUCAGAUUCAAGCCAUAGUUGUAGUAAUGCAGAAUUCUUAAUCCACUGUAUUGGGCUGGGGAUUGAACCUGUGUCCCAGCGCUCCAAGAUGCCCUGGCACCACAGCAGGAACUCCAAUAUAUUUAUAAUGCAAAUAUUUGACAAAUGAUUUGUAACCGGAAUAUAUUAUAACACUAAAAAUAAGAAAAAUUUAAUUACCCAUUAGGGCUACAUCCAGUGGCAGUAAGGUAAGUUUGUCUCUGCUUCACCAACAGGGUAGUGUCAAGUUGGAUGAACUUCCACGCUGGCUCAAAAGCAAUGAGGUAGAAUUAGGUGGUUCCCAGGCAGUGUUGUUCACCAAUCAGCUUUGUACCUUCCUCCAUGUUAUCAGGACCCAAUGCUGAACUUCCAACGCUACUCAACAAACUGUAGCAACUGGGUGGUGCUAGCUGAUGCUCUGUUUUCCCUCCUUCAUCCUCCCCACCUGUUCUAACUAGGCUGAAUAGAGAGCUUAACUUUCAUGCCCAUCCAGUGAAAAUGAGGUGGGUGUCAGUGCUCUACUUUUGCUUGAGUGGAAUCUGUGGAGCUCAUUAGGGUGCAGAAUAUCCACUCCAACCUGGAUUUCCUAGCUACACCUACAAAGGGUGACUGCCUACAAAAUAGAAGGAUAAAGAGGACCUAUUCUGUUGAUACCCAAAAUGUCCAGAAUAGAACUAAAAAUCCUUCAUCAUAUGAAACAAGAAAAUCUCAAGCUGAAUGGAAAAACAAGACAUAUCAACACCAUGAUGACUAAUUUAUCUGACAAAUUCAAAACAGUAAUCUUAGAAAUUCUUCAGUGAUGGAGUUCCCAUCAUGGCUCAGUAGUUAACGAAUCCAACUAGGAACCAUGAGGUUGUGGGUUCGAUCCCUGGCCUCACUCAGUGGGUUAAGGAUCUGGCAUUGCCGUGAGAUGUGGUGUAGGUCACACAUUGCUGUGGCUCUGGCGUAGGCCAGCAGCUACAGCUCAGAUUACACCCCUAGCCUGGAAACCUCCAUAUGUCGUGGGUGCGGCCCUAGAAAAAGACAAAAAAAAAAAAAAAUCUUCAAUGAAUAAAUUAUGUACCCACUUGAAACAAAUGAAAAAAAAAUAAACUUAGCAAAGAAACAAGACCAAAAUGGAAUUUGUGUGUACAUCUUUUUAGGGCCAUACCUGUGAUACGUGAAAGUUCUCAGGCUAUGGGUCAAAUCAGAGCUACAGCUUCUGGCCCAUACCAUAGUCACAGUAAUGCCGAUCCAAGCCACAUCUUCAUCCUAUGCCAUGGUUUGUGGCAACGCUGGAUCCUUAACCCACAGAGAGAGGCCAGGGAUUGAACCAGCAUCCUCAUGGAUACUAGUCAGGUUCGUUACCACUGCGCCACAAUGGGAACUGCAAAAUGGAAUGUUCUUAACUUAAAAAUAACAGUAACCAGGAGUUCCCAUCGUGGCGCAGUGGUUAACGAAUCCGAUUAGGAACCAUGAGGUCGCGGGUUCGAUCCCUGGCCUUGCUCAGUGGGUUAAGGAUCCAGCAUUGUGCCAUGAGCUGUGAUGUGGGUCGCAGACAUGGCUCAGAUCCGAGUUGCUGUGGCUGUGGUGUAGGCUGGUGGCUACAGCUCCGAUUCGACCCCUAGCCUUGGAACCUCCAUAUGCCACGGGAGCGGCCCAAGAAAUGGCAAAAAGACAAAUAAUAAUAGUAAUAAUAAUAAUAAUAAUACAGUAACCAAAAUAAAAGACUCAAUGGAUGUGCUCCAGAGAAUGGAGGGGACAGAGGAAAGUACACGUGAACUGAAGACAGAACAAGAGCAAUUACCCAAUAUGAACGGAGAGGAAAAUAUCCUGAGUUCCAGAAAUAAAGGAGAAAGUGUGAGGCUGAUAAAGCAUUCAAAGGAAUAAUGGCAAAAAAAUCCAACUUUGGCAAUAAAUAUAAACCUACAUAUUCACAAAACUGAGCAAACCCCUAACAAGAUAAAUCCAAUGAACUCCAUGCCCAGACACAUCAUAAAUAAACUUGCAGGGGGGAAGAAAAAAACCAAAAACAAAGCAGCCAGAGAGAAAUGACACAUUAACUCCAUGGAAACAAUGGUUUAAAUGAUAGAUUUAAGACCAGAAGGAAGUAGCACAUUUUCCAAGUGCUGAAAGAAUUGUCAACCCAGAACUCUGUACCAGCAAAAAAGAUUCUUCAGCAGUGGAGGAAAUGAAGACCUGCUCAGUUGAAGGAAGACUGUCAGGAGAUCUACUCUUAAGAAACUUCAUCAAGCAGAAGAGAAAUGAUAAAGGAAAUAUGGAGUAUCAGUCAUGGGGAAAGAACAACAGUAAAAAUAUGGGUACAUUUAAUAGAUUAUAUUUCUCCUGUUGUUUCCAAAAUUAUGUUAGAUGGUUGAAUAAAAAUGACUAAUUAUGUCCUGUAGUUCUUCAGGUAUAUGGAAGAAAGAAACAUUUAAGAUAACUAUACAAUGAAGUGGGGGAAAUUAAAGGACCUCAGAUAAGUUUUACAACUGAUUCAGUGAUGACAAACACAGAUUGUGAUGUGUAUAAUGUAAUACCUAGAGUAACUACUAAAAAGUUACACAAAGAGAUGUACUUAAGAGCCCUAUAGAUAAAUCCAAGUUGAAUUUUAAGGAGUUCCCUGGUGGCCUAGCAGUUAGGGAUUUGACAUUGUCAGUAGCUGUGGCUUGGGUUUGAUCCCUGGCCUGGGAACUUCUGCAUGCCAUGGGUAUACCCAGAAUAAAAAGCAGAAUUCUAAAAAAUUCUCAACCCACUGUAAGACAAAAAAAGUGAAACAAACAGAGGACCGAAAAAUAGAAAAAACAAAACCACCAAUAAAGUGGCAGAGAACGUUUGUAACAGAUUUGUAAUAGCAAAAAACUUUUGGAAACAACCCAAAUAUUUUUUAAUGCAUUAAUGAACCCAUGAUAUAUCAAUACCAUAAAAAUCUACUCAGAAAUAAUCCAAAAGAGAAAUUAUUGUAUCUGCAAUAAGAUUAAUCUCAAGGGAAUUACGCUGAGUGAAAAAAAGAAAUCGUAAAAGGUUAUAUAGUGAUUCCAUUUAUAGAACAUUCCCUAUAUGACACAAUUAUAGAGAAUAGAUUAGAAGUUGCAGGGAUUAGGAAUGGGGAGGAGGGGAGAGAAGGAUAGAUGUGACUUUGUAGGGGUAGAACAGGGAUCUUUGUGGUGUAAAUUCCAUAUCUUCAUUAUGAUGGUGGUAGUAACACAAACUUAGGCUAGAUAAAAUUGUAUAGAACUACAGACACACAUCCACAAGUGCGUGUGAAAUCUGAUAAGGCCUGUAGAUCACAUCAGUGACAAAUCUGAUAUUGUCCUAUAGCUAUGUAAAAUGUUACCAUUAAGGGAAACUGGACAUUGGAUACACUAACUAGUACCAUAGGGUAUAAUUUCUUCAAAUUUCUGUAAAUCUGUAAUUAUUUAUAAAUAAAAACAUUUUUGAAAGUUCCAGUAGAAAGAAAUAGACAAAAUACAUGGAGUAUUCACAGAAAAGGAAAUUUGAGCCAUACAUACAUAUAUAUUUGAAGGGCCUGAAUAUAAAACACCUGUGGUAUAGGAAGAAGUAAACUUUUACAUCCACUGGGCCCUUACCUGACACACAUAAAAGCACCAGCAUCUACAUCUCCAUUUAAGGAUCCAGAAACCAAAGAAAAAUUUGUUGAAAUACACUUAAGUUGCCUCUGCUCUGAUAAAGGUAACUCUCCUUGGCUUGAUAUGUUAGAACAUUACGUUUUACUGUAUGCACGAACGGUCUUUUCCCUUCAAUUUGAACACAACCGAAAUGUGGGUGAUUUUUUUUUUUCAACAAAUGGAGAGUCAAUUAUCUCAACAACUGAAUAGUUCUUUUGUUUCUUCACUGCUUUUGAGUAGGAAGGAACUCAUAUUUGAAAUAAAAAAAAAAAAACUGGACUCAAAACAAAUGCUAUAUACUUCUGAUUUGUAUUAUCCUAAUUAACAUUAUAAGGAGAGGGUAAGCAAUGUCUUAUCUUAAUUCAAAUUAGGUUUGUGUAUGAUUAAAGAUAAUGUUGAAUAAAUGUUAGUAUCUGAUCAAAAAUAAGAAUCCAUUUAAAAAUUGUUUCUGUUAGUCCAUGUUUUCUCUACACAUUUGAUUCUUGUUUUAGAGAAACAAGGAAAUUUAGAAUUAAAAAAACCAACAUAAUUUUGACAACAGAUUUGUUAAUACUGUCAUAUCUGCUUUCAUUUUAUUUAAGAAAUGUUAGACAUAAAUAUAACAACUGCCUCCACUUUCUAAAAGGCAACUAAUGUCAUAAAUGCAUCCAUGACCAAUACACAGUACUGUUCUUUGCACUGUUCCAUCAAAUUUAUAAAAAUGUUAUAUUUCAUUGUACAUUUUGCUUUUUUCCCUCAUGCACUGUAAUCUAUUGGUAAUGACAUAUCAAAUUUGUCUUUAAAUAUUGUGUUCUAUCAGAAACAAUCACAUUGUAUCAAACUAUCCCUCUACUAAUGGAAAUGUUCUGUUCAGUUUAGACUAAUACAAACCAUGAUGCAGUGAACAUGAGAUAUAUAUGUCUCUCUUUGUACAUAUGUUGGUGUCUUUGAACCCAAUACACUAAAAUAGAAUUGAAUGUUACAUAAUCAUGUAUUUUUAAAUAAAUUCUUUUACUCUAAUAGAUAUAGUCCAUUUUACUUUCAUUGUAGAUAAUGUAAUCUUACUUUUUAUAUUCUGGUCUUCAAUCUAUUUGGGUUUCUUUUUUUUUUGUAUAUGGUACAAAGUAGCUAAUAUUUGUUGUUUUUAUAAAUCUCCCAUUUAUUGAAUACCAUCCUUUCUCUAAUGAUUUUAAUAGCACUAUAAUACACAAAAUCCCUACAUCUCCUUCCUCCAGUUCUCAAUUUGUUUCCACUGAUUUACUCAUCAAGAACACAUUGUUUAGGAAUUCCCAUCGUGGCUCAGUGGGAUAAGAACCCAACUAGUAUCCAUGAGGAUGCAGGUUCAAUCCAUGGCCUCACUCGGUGGGUCAAGGAUCCAGCAAUGCUGUGAACCGUAGGUUGCAGACACGGCUUGGAUCCCACUUUGUGUUGCUGCGGCUGUGGCUGUGGCGUAAGCUGGCAGCUGCGGCUCUGAUUUGACAUCUAGUCUGGGAGCUUUCAUAUGGCAUGGGUGAGGCCCUAAAGAAAAAAAAGAAAAACACUGUUUAAAUGAUAAUUUUAAAUAAAUAUGUGACGAUAUAUAGUAGACUGUUUUUUUCACGUUUAUCUCAGCUAUUUGUGGUCCUUUACAUGUCUAUAUGAAAAUAUUUUUUCUUUUUUGGUUGCCCUGCUAUGUAUGGAGCUUCUGGGUGAGGGAUCAAGUGCAAGCCGUGGCUGCCACCUACACUGCAGCUCAGGCAAC